CCUGCGCGCCGCGCCCGCUGCCACGUGGAUGCCACGGAGCAACACAGCCCCUGCGCGGUACGUGUGGCACCGCCCGGGCACCCCCUCUGAAAGCCUUAAAAAAGCUCUAAAUGCUAAUUUUCCGUUGCAAAGCCACAGCUCACUGAGUUUGCAAAGUCAAAAGUCAACAGUUUGUGGCUGGGGGCCCGUUCUGUUGCCUAUAGCACAGGGACCAGCACGGCGGUACUCAGUACACUUGUGCAAACAGGUGGUAGCACACGUCAGCUGCUGGUGCUUCAUGAACGUGCCUCUGGGAGUCUCUGGCUGCAUUUUGCCUGAAAGUCUGGAUAGAGAAAAUAAACCUGCGGGAGCGCUGCUGACAGCAUCAUUCAACCCUUUCCCCUGGCACCUCCUACAGCCUGUCCCUGCAGCACACGGCGGUGCCAGUUCUCUUUCCAGGGAGCUGCUGAAAUGGAAGCAAGGAAUGAUUUGUUUGGGCUUGGAAGUGACUAAAAAAGAUCUGAUAGUCCAACUCCCUGCAGUGAGUAGGGACGUCUUCAACCAGACCAGGUAGCUGAGAGCCCUUUCCCACCCGACCUUGAAUGUUUAUAGGGAUAAUACAUCCACCACCUCUCAGGGCAACCUGUGCCAGCGUUUCAGCACUCUCGUUGUGAGAGGCUGCAGCACUGCAGCCUUGCUAAAAAAUUCAUUCACUGCCUACAAGUACUGAGGAAUAACAGCACACACAUGUAAACACGAAUAAAUUCCUCUAGUGUUGCUAAAGUUUCACACCCUCAGUUCAGUGCCUUUUCAGGAUGUGGGGUUUUUUAAGAACAGAGGGAGCUGACUGCAGAGCAGCAGGAGAGGAUCACGGAGGAGGGAAGGUAGACAGACCUGAAUUGGCAUCACACAGCAAAUCACCUGUAACCUGCUCAGGCAGAAAAGUCAGUUUUAACAGUCUCCAAGCAUAUAUGUGUGUGUGUGUGUGUGUGUGUGUGUGUGUGUGUGUGUGUGUGUGUGUGUGCAGGAGGCUGCAUGGAACACCCAUUACAAACUGUUCCUUACUGAGUGGGCUGCUCAGUCCCACAGAUCCUUUUGUCCAGGCAGUGCAAGGUACCAACACCCUCCUGAAAAGUGCUUUUCUGCCCUGUCACAGCUGAGCUCAGCCUCUGUCCCUGAAAUGUUUCUGUGCCUGGCCACAGAGACAUUUCUCCUGAGCACCACAGGAAGCCUGUGUACCUGAGAUUAUUCACAUCAGCCAUGUGUGACACAGACAGAGGGCAAGAGCACAGCCUGUCCCUUGGGGGUGGCAGGUGGGUCACCAGUUUUUUCAUUUCACCUGUGCAACAUCAGUUACAAUGGCAGGACCUUUUCCAAAUUAAAAAAGAAUUAGCAUAGAGGAGAACUCCAACAUAACACAAGCUACCAGGCCCAUUAGUUUGUUUUCCUGGCACAGGAUAGACAGAGAAUAUCAAGGACCCAACAGUUGUAUCAAACAAUCCCACACUAAGGGCCAGGCCCAAAGGUUACCAAGCCCUGAGCUGUCCCAUGCAGGAGUUAGUCCAUCAGCAAGAGCAACUGAGAGAUAUCCCUGAACUUAAACCUGAAAAUACCCUGACUCAGCCCUGGCAGCACUGCCUUGCAUCCAUCCUGAGAGGUUCAAAUGAAAUUCUGCCUGUCCAAAUUCAGAUGAGAAGUCCUGACUUGACCCAUCAUAACUACACCUGGCUCUGUCAGCACUCAUUGUACUCUGAGUGAAAUUACAUCUGUGGGGAAGAGAAUGAGAUUCAAAUCAGUCCCACAGACCAGUAAUUAAGAAACAGGCAACAUACUUAUUUAUACUUUAUAAGCUCUGAGAGUUUGCUGUCUCCAUGGUUCCUGAAGAAUGCUAUUCUUACUUUGUUACACUGGCAAACACUCCAUCUCUGUGACAGCAGCUAUAUCUAAAAACUCCAAGGCUAUAAAGCUAGAGCAGUGCCAAGCUUCACCAUUUUUCAUCUUAGUAAUUCUACAGUGCAGAGGCCCACAUGGUGCUUUUUUGUUAGGAAAUUCUGCUAUUUCACAGUGCCCUUGCUAGAGGAUAAUUUCACAUUGUUUAAACUACACAGGUAUAAGAAGUUCCACCUGUCUGAAUAAAGCAAUAAAAAGGCAACACUAAGAGCUCCCUUUUGAACAGUUUGAAAGGUCCUGUAUCAAACAGAUUGUUCUGGCACAUAAAGAGAAAUAAACCAUAGCAAGAUGACAGUGUAUCAUUAGGUGUUGUAUCCCACCUCAAAUCACAGAGCCCAGGAACUUCCAGCCCAUUCUCAGGACUAAACAAAAGCUAAAGGCAUAGGGAGGCCCUGCAGCACCCUGCAAAUGAGCCUUCCUGUCCUUAUAUUUUAUCCCCCAUUGGUUAGAGACAGUACACAUGUAAUCAAUUGCAAAUCAGAGAGCACAUCAACCAUUUUCUUUUCUGGAGGAAAACAGAUUUUGUUGUUACACAUCUAACAAUGUCCUUCCAGUUAGUUACUUCUGACUGUUGAAAGGGAAUGAAAUUGGGAAUGGAAUAAUAACAACAACAGAGGAAGCUUGCAAUAGUAGGGUUGAAUUUUGUCAAUUUAUAAAGAAAAAAAAAAAAAAAGCAAAUGCCCACAAGCAAUGAGUGAAACUCUACUGAGAAAAGUGACAAAAAGAACAAUUUUAUUUACUAGCCAGAAUGAACCCAGAAAAGUGAAUGGGAGGACUAUGUGAUGCAGGCAAGCAGUAUUUGCUCGUCUGACAUACAAACAAAGUCUUCCAUCUCACUGUUCUUACCCAAACAAUAUUCCCACUGACAUCUGGAAACACUGAACCAGGUAAGUUCUGGCAGGCUGAGCCUCAGAUUUAUUUUCACAUUUUUAAAAAAUACAGAUUUUUAUUUAUUCAUUGUGAAUAGAUUAAAAAUACAGCAUAAAGCAAUAUCAUGGCAAAAGUCUUUAAAAUAUACAGUUUUUCCCUUCAAAAGAAUGUCACAGAAUAAAUUGUGAAUAUUUCUGUAAACAAUUUCCAUUUUCAUAUUAUUGACAGUCCCAUUUAUUGUAUGCUAAAUCAUCUGAUACACCUUAGGAAAGAAGGUAGUCUUCAUCACCAAAAAGUAGUAUUUGCAAACAAAGAAUUAACCCUAAUGAUUUUUGCACUGCGUUGUGUGCAUAUUUACAUACCAGAUCUACACAGAACUGUCAGCAACUACUGAAUUUAGCAAAUUAAACUACACCAAAAAAUGUCAAUAAUUACACUCUACAUCUUUUGCAUGCACAUUUUGGACACUUUCAAUCUCCUCUCUACAUGGUUAGUGGUGUUGUCACACAUGCUUCCUUCUCAAGGAAAAGCUCAAAGAUUUGGCAUCACCACCUUAUGAGGGAAACAAAUCCUUUUGUCUAAUUUCAGUCCCUCCACUGCAUAGAUUCUGCACAAAGCAGACUAUGCAACUGUCUUCAGAGGUGAGGGGCUUCACCUUUCAUUGACAGCUGAUACCUUAAUGCUAUGAACUGAAAUAGCAAAAAAGGCCACAUCCCAGACAGGCUUUAGGCAUCUAAAGCAGAACUUUGGAAAGGCACUGAAAAUAUUCAUCUGAAUUGCAGUCCUCUGUUUCUAUUUCAGCAUGUACAAAAAAAAUUAGGUCCAAAAAUCUGGUCAUUUUAGUACCUCUACCUAAGACCAGCUGAGAUCUAGCAAUGAGACAUUCCUCCAUUAAUGGGUGAGAGCUUUGCUCUCACUCUCAAAACAAAACAAAAAAAACCAAACAAACAAAAAAAAAAAAAAAGAGAAAGGCCAAGGGCACUGCUUUCCCAAAACCUCUGCAAUCUACAGCAAAAAGAUGCUGCCAUCUGUUGCAAGGCUGCUCACAGCUACAAGUGCCUGCUGGUUACAGCACCAGCCAGAAGCACAUCCAAGGGUAACUUUCCCUUCCCUCCUAGAAAGGAUUCAAAUUCUCCCUUAACCACCAGGAGUUCACCUCUUUCAGACAGUGGCAGUUGUUAUUGACAUCACCCUUGGAUAAUGUCUAAACAGCAAUUCAAGAUCCACUUGCCAUAAAAAAAGAAAAAAUGGGAGCAUAAUCUGGUUCCAGUGACAGGCACUUGCACAGGAAAGGAAGAACUGAUUUCUGUUCCCUGAACAGCUUCUGCAUUUUACAAGAAAUUAAUAUUCCUUGGCUAUGAGAGAAAUCCUAAUCAAUUCUGCAUCAUCUCAUGGCCUGCUUAGCUUUACACCUGCUUGGCUGAAGUGGUGAGCACUACAGGUCAUUCAGCACUUCACAGGGGCUGGCCCUUGUGCACAUCAAUUUACACCUCAGGAGACUGCCAGGCCAAGGAGGCAGAAGCUUCCAUCUGAAACCUCCUGCAAAAUGACUGUUAACCACAACCAAGGAACAGGAACAGCUUCUGUACUAUCCACACAGAUGGCACAGCAGCUUUGGAAUAAAAGACUGGAUUUGAAGAAACUUAUCUCUAUGCAAUGAUAAUUCAACCACCACCAGGUAUUUCUCCUCCCCUCACUGAUCAGUAUUAGGCAAAGAGGACAUAAAUUCAAGUGUUUUGGGGUAAUACUGUUGUCCCUUUCUAACCAAAAACUCUUCUCUAAAUAGUAUUUGCAGAUAAAAUACCAUUUAAAUAUAUACUUAAACCAUGUAAAUUGUUUUUUGUACAUAGAAAUAGGUGAAUCAACAUCUCCUAACUUCUUCAAACAUCCAUCUGGAAAUGGUGGAAAACGUGUUCUCAUUUUAAGUGAGAUGAUCUAGCUUCACUGAGAUUUGAGAUGCCCCUGUAAAACCAACUUCAAAUUACCCAUAUAUUACAAAUCUUGCUACUGUACAUUAUUGGACAAAUAUAAGAUCGGUAGACUUUUAUACAAAGAAAAUUUUAUAUGGUGCAACAUGUGAAAAUGAGAGAGGUAGCUGGAAGCCUCACCUCACCAGGAACAUGAAUGAUUUUCUAAUGGUAUAAUAUGCAAUGUUGGUAAUGAAUAAAAUAUUCUACCCUGAAUAUCCUCACUGCCAAUCUGAAUCAUCUUCCAUACCCUUUGCCAAACUAAGGAUUCUAUCUGAAAUUCAUUUGAGAAUAAAUGUCCAACAAUGUCAGCAAAAUAGAAUGGGACUACUUAUUAACAUCAGUAGCUGCAUCCACAAACUGAAAAUUUGUGUUCAUGUGCAAAUUUGGUGAUCAUUUUUUCAAAUGAUGAAAAAAUGCUUAGAAUUUAGGAAAAUGUUUUUCUGUAUGUGGGGAGGAGAAGAAAAAUGUAAACACACUGAUCAUUUGCUGGGUAAAAAACAGGACAUGUAAAACCUAAACAAUAAGGCCUUGUUUUCUUUCGUCAAAAAAACUAGGCCCCUCAGUUCUAACAGUAAAAAAAGUACAAAAGAUUCAAGUGUGUGUGUAUUACAGCUUUAAAACACAAAGAGAAGUAUGCUAUGGCACCCUACAUACUACUUACAUUUAGAUUUCUACCCUCAAAAAUUAUAAAACUAAAAUAUGAAAAAAAACCAACCUGGUAACAUCACAUAAAAAUACAUCUUUGUAGCUGCAAAUGCAGCAAGUCUAUAACAAAUUUAUAUACAAGAACUGCUUAAUUUCAGUGUCAUUCUUCCAUCAUUGCCCAAGCCUCUUCUGCCUUUUGGUAGUACUGAUUUGCCAGCCUGCCCUUCAUGGCUUCCAUGGCUGCUUCUGCUGCUUCUGUGUAAAGCUCACCUAGAGAGGAAACAGCAUCAGUUAUGUUGACAGAGUGAAGAAGGAAUAUGGUUUUAGCCUUAAGCAAAUAAAGGACAAAGGGAGAAAUUGAGGUCAAACUGCAGGGCCGGAUGUAUGGGUGUGUUUUAACAGUGUCAGUUACAUCAGCUGGGAACCUGGCCUCUGCUCUUCAAGUUAUACAACUGGCUGCUGAUGCUCCCCAAUGUAUCUGGAAGGACUGCAAACAGGACCAGCCUGUAGGAGCCCCCCAGGACAGACAUCUAGCAUGUUGAACCCUCCCAUCAUUAACAUCUCAGCUUCCCUGGCCAGGAGCAGAUACCGUGGCUCAUCCUGAGUGCCAUCAUAUUCACCUCCCUCAUCGUAGUCGGUCAUGUUCAGCGCAGCGUUGUACCAGUGAAGUGCCUCCUUCCAGUCCUGGGCCCUGAAGGCAAAAAUAAUUUCUGAAGAUGGUUCCCUUAGGAAACAAAUGUACUUUGCCUUGGAGACUCAGCAUCCAAUUUUGUACUGACUUUUCAGAGUGCUAAUGCUCUCCAAGAAAGCAAAUGUUCUCAUGGAGACUCACUAAAUGCACUGUGGCAUCAGGUACCAAGCAAAAUGAGGCUGGGGUCACUUUAUGCAGGAAUUACAGGAGAAAGUAUCAGACUGAAGUGUUUUCCUGAACUCCAGAGUAUGAGCUUCAUUAUCAGUUGUAUGAUUUUGGCAUUAACAUUUGUGAGAGCAACCAAUUUAGGAAAAAAUCUCAAGUUGCAGAGUUUUGUUUCAUGAAUACUUUAAAAUCAGUUAUUUUGCACACUGAGAAUGCUCAGUGAAGUUCAGAUAGAAGUUUAAUGUUAUUUGACAGUGGGAAAUUUAAACAGUAUCACUGCUGUGCAAAACAGAAAACUCACAUAAAUAACAAAGACAUGCUAAAAUACAAAAGCAGAAAAAUCAUUGCCCCAGCCUUGCCUCAGUGAAGUACCACCAAGUUAAUCUACUCAGCCAUGCACAGUACCUGUCUGCACCAAGAUUUACACCUGUAUCAUAUGCUCUUGCUACCAGAAUCAUGGAAGGCCGGUCUCCAGCUUCUGCUGCUCUCAGCAAGUAAUUAAAUCCUUUAUUUCUGUUCUCCUUUGUAUCCUAGUAAAGAAAACAAAACCUUUAAAAUGCAUGCUUCUAAAACCAUCCCUUUACCAUUAAAUGCAGUUUCUCAAAGUCAGCCAGUAUUUAGUAUGUCUGAGAAAUUGGCACAGCCACAAGAAACAAAGCAGCUGAACAGCAGAGGUGGCUUCAAAAGCUUCCCAAAGGCAUGCAGUAAUCUGCUGGCAAAACCAGAAAGAGGCAGCAUUUUUUUUGCUGCUUCAUCCAAAUCCUUAAUUACAAAGUAAUCUAUUUUCUCUGAAGAGGCUACACAACACCUAACUGUGGUUUUCGUUUCAUCUCCAUUUCCUACUAUUCUAAUGUUAUUUUUACAAUGGACCACAAUUCUCCUUUUUGGCAUCUUCCAUACCUCGAGAGUGACCUCAGACAGAAUGUGAUGUGGCAGCUGAGAGCACAUGAGGCCCAACCCAACGAUGGCUUCCAGCUCCCCACAGUCUGCAGCAUGCUCCAGGUGGAACAGGGCUGACUCCCGAUCCCAUUCCUUGUCCUUCUCACAGAAGCGCCCGCCUUCAUGGUAGCGAACCAUGGCCAGGUGCACCUGGACACAAUUGCACAGGAGAGACAGCAUGAGAGCUUCCCAAACUGUCUUCAUCAGACUCCUGCCUCCGGUUGUUGUUUGAAUGGCCCUACGUUAACGUAAAGAUUUGCAUCAUUGAAUUUGCAGCAACUGAUGUGUGCCAGAUAUGCCUCUAGACUCUUCCUACCUUCCAGAAUUAGUAGUGACAGUGAAUUAAAAAAGACCAAAACUGUU